GUGGCACGCAAUCAUUUCCCUUAUCUUGAAUUAGCACGUCAUCAAGAUUUAACUUUUCAAAGUUAAUAAUUCCUGUAUCAUCAUCAAGAAUAUUUUCUUUCCUAGCAGACUCACUAUCAGACUCUUCAAAUAUGAUAUUUACUGACUCUUCGACUACAAGAGUUCUUUUAUUGAACACUCUGUAUGCCCUGCUAGAUGUGGAGUAUCCUAAGAAGAUACCUUCACCUGACUUGGUAUCAAAUUUAC
rnacentral:lncRNA from 1 species